rnacentral:tRNA from 10 species
CACGCUGCUCUUAGGAAGCAGUGCUAGAGCAUCUCGGUUCGAGUCCGAGUGGCGGCAUACUCAAAAAGAGAUAGAAUGAA